CCACAGACAGUCGUUGCUUUAAACUAGAUGGGUCUCUCUCUUAUAGGUUACCCUGAGCAAAGGGUCCGGAUACUGUCCGGGAAGCGAAGAGAGAGAGAGUUCUCGAUCAUGUCAGACUAGAGCCGUCUCUCUGUUCAUCAGAGUUUCUGUUCCUCUCCCCGUAGAGGUUACUCCGUAUAUCAGAGUUGUAAUUUCUCCCAUAUGGUGUGGUACGCUGGGAUGGCUUGCCUACAAGAUCAGCUCCGGCGUUUAUGUGGGUGGUCGGAUCGUCUGGGUUCUUGUGUCCGGCGGGUUAUCGGCUUGCGAGUUUUGCACGGUGGCCAGCCGAAUGGCCACUCUCCGCCGAUUUUCCCUUUCGAUCCAGGUUUACUUGUUGGGAUGAGAAAAAAUUCGAUCGAAAUGAGUGGUCUCGGAAAAAUAUAGGUUUACGGGUGGUUUCCCAUACAAGGAUAUCAAAACGUGCGCUUGCCAUUCAGCGUUGAGAACGAAUUUGCAUAGGCUUUAUCAACUAGAUGUUAAGAAUAAAUGCCUCAUACGAGGACGUCUCAAUCCCUCUUUCUGUAAUGCGCAAGAAAGAAUAGAUUUCUUGAUGAGAGUGACAACUGAGGUGCGCUCACGAUUGGAACCUUGGGUACAACACCCAACCUUGGGCCGAUUGUAUUCCUAUGGAUUCUGAUGCAUAUAAUGUUAAUACAUUUGAAAAAAAAAAAAAACAACCAAUGGAGAAUCCAAUUGGUCCCACUGUUGCUACCUGUGCAACUUGCGUCUGAACUUGAUUACAUCACCUAGUUGGACAACAAUACAUGCCAAAAUUUGAGUCAUGAUGGUAUGGAUGCGGUGUCAUACAAUAUCAAUGAUUCAGAAUAUUACGAGGGAGAAGAAAAUUCUUACGACCUUAUUCUGACAUGACCUGUGCUGCUAAUCAAGUUUUGAACCUUUAUUGUUAGGGUUCUGCAAAUCGAAGGAGUAGAGCUCGUGGUAAAGCGAGGCAAAACAUUGGUUUUGAUUUUUUCUUAGGGUCAUCGAAUCGAACCAUUUGGUGCUCCAUGUUAAGGGAAGCACUGCAAUCGACAUCUAUGUUAUGGCUUUAAAAGGCUCAUUCCAGGGUGGAAACACAAUCAAACUUGGCAUACGCACUGGAAGCACAAGAAUGGCCAAGGGGAGAUUUGACUGUUUUUUGGAGGUUGGUAUAUUGAAGUUGGAGAUUGUAUAGUUUUGGGGAACUGACUUGGAUGUGGAGUGUUGGUAUGGUUUUUCGGAAUUGACUGUUUUUUGAGUUGCCACAAUUUUUUUGGAAAGUAUAGCUUCUGGUAUAUUGUAUGUCCAAUGGAUCAGUUAAGAAAUGAAAGAAUUGCAUUUUCACUUGGCA